AAAUGAAUUGACGGGGGCCCGCACAAGCGGCGGAGUAUGUUGCUUAAUUCGAUGCAACGCGAAGAACCUUACCAAGGCUUGACAUAUACCGAAAACUCAUAGAGAUAUGGGGUCCUUUUGGGCGGUAUACAGGUGGUGCAUGGUUGUCGUCAGCUCGUGUCGUGAGAUGUUGGGUUAAGUCCCGCAACGAGCGCAACCCUCAUUCUAUGUUGCCAGCACGUUAUGGUGGGGACUCAUAGGAGACCGCCGGGGUCAACUCGGAGGAAGGUGGGGAUGACGUCAAAUCAUCAUGCCCCUUAUGUCUUGGGCUGCAAACAUACUACAAUGGCCGGUACAAAGGGCUGCGAUACCGUAAGGUGGAGCGAAUCCCAUAAAGCCGGUCUCAGUUCGGAUUGGGGUCUGCAACUCGACCCCAUGAAGUCGGAGUCGCUAGUAAUCGCAGAUCAGCAACGCUGCGGUGAAUACGUUCCCGGGCCUUGUACACACCGCCCGU
rnacentral:rRNA from 1 species